GCUUAGGGUCUCUCUCACGUGAGCAUUAAGAAAUCUGACAAAUUAGUCAGAAGCUAAGCAGGGUCAGGCCUGGUUAGUACUGAAAUGGGAGACCAUUUAGGAAGACCAGGUGCUGUAGGCG
rnacentral:rRNA from 1 species